GAUGAACGCUGGCGGCGUGCCUAAUACAUGCAAGUCGAGCGAACGGACGAGAAGCUUGCUUUUCUGAUGUUAGCGGCGGACGGGUGAGUAACGCGUGGAUAACCUACCUAUAAGACUGGGAUAACUUCGGGAAACCGGAGCUAAUACCGGAUAAUAUUUUGAACCGCAUGGUUCAAAAGUGAAAGACGGUCUUGCUGUCACUUAUAGAUGGAUCCGCGCUGCAUUAGCUAGUUGGUAAGGUAACGGCUUACCAAGGCAACGAUGCAUAGCCGACCUGAGAGGGUGAUCGGCCACACUGGAACUGAGACACGGUCCAGACUCCUACGGGAGGCAGCAGUAGGGAAUCUUCCGCAAUGGGCGAAAGCCUGACGGAGCAACGCCGCGUGAGUGAUGAAGGUCUUCGGAUCGUAAAACUCUGUUAUUAGGGAAGAACAUAUGUGUAAGUAACUGUGCACAUCUUGACGGUACCUAAUCAGAAAGCCACGGCUAACUACGU
rnacentral:rRNA from 1 species